GGUCAGUUCCUACACCCCAUAAGCAACUACUGUCUUGAUUAGAAAUAGAAUUUUCAUUUACUUCAGUCAACAUAAUUUCUUUUAGAUUAGCCCAUGUUGUAUAUAUUUGUAGUUCAUUUCUUUAUCGUUGAGUAGUAUUUUAUGGUAUCGUAUAUCAGAAUUCAUUUAUCUGUUCCCCUUAACUCUUCUGAGUAAAGAUGCUACGAACAUUCUUCUACAGAUCUUUUUUGUGAACAUAAGUUUUUAUUUCUAUUGCUUACAUACAUAGGAGUAAAAUUGCUUGGUCAUUGGGUAGAUUUAUCUUCAACUUAAUAAAAAAUCAUUUUUUUUUCCAAAAUGGCUAUACAGUUUUAAACUCCUAACAUUAACGUAUGAGAGUUUCAGUUGUUCCACAUGCUUGUAUUGUUUGGUGUCGUCAGUCUUUAACUACUAUAGUAGGGGUAAAGUGGAAUUUCAUUAUGGCUUUAUUUUGCUUUUCUCUGCUGACUCCUGAUAUUGAGGGUUUUUGUUAUGACUUUAGUUUUGUAAAAUGUUAAAUUAGGUUGCCUUUUUAUUACUGACUUAUUAAGAUUAUUUAUAUAUAUUCUAGUUAUGGAUCCAUUGUCAAAUAUAUUUAUUAAAUUCUCCUAGCCUGAGGUUUAUAUUUUCGUUUUCUCAGUGAUGUAUUUUGAUGAGACUAAGUACAAUUUAUCUUUUUUUCUUUUAUGUUUAGUACUUUUGUGUCCUAAGAAAUCUUUGCCCAAGUCAUGAAAAAUAUUAUUCUGUAUUUGCUUUAGAGAGCAUUAGAAUUAUAGAUCUUACAUUUAGGACCAUGGGUCAUCUUGAAUUAAUUUUUUAAUUUGGUGUGAGGUGUAUGGGUCAAGAUUCUUUCUUUUUUUUUUCUGUUCAGGUUUUUGACAUCAUUUAUUGAAAACACUUUUCUGACUCUAUGGAAUUGCCUUAAAAUCUUUGUUGAAAAUCAAUUGACUAAUAAGCAUGAGUCUAUUUCUUGACCUUUUUUCCUGUUGCAUUGGCCUGUUAUACAUCUCUAUGUUAAUAAAUACCACACUAACUUUAUUGUUAUAAUAUUAUACUAAGUCUUGCAGCCAGGUAAUAGCAUAAGUCCUCCAAGGUUUUCUUCUUUUUUGAGAUUGUUUUGGCUAUUCUAGAUCUCUUGCAAUUCUAUAUAAAUUUUAAAUCAAGUGUUAACAGCUCUUUUAGAAUUUGUCUAGCAGGUUUUCUGGUUUUUAUUGGAAAACCUUCCUCCACAGAAAAUUUUAAAUCAUGUCAAUUUCUUUUUUUUUUUUUUUUUUAAUCCUCUUGGGAUUUCAGUUUACAUUAAGUAAAAUCUAUAGAUCAAUUUAGGGACAAUUACCUCCUUAACCAUAUUGAUUCGGACAAUUUGUGGGCAUGAUAUAGCUUCCUAUCUAGCUCCCCUUUUAUUUAGACCUUCAAUUUCUCUAAAACCUGCUUUUGUAGUUUUUAUGCCUGAAGUUUACUCAUAAGCAUUUUAUAUUAUCUGAUACUAUUAUAAAUGGUUUUUAAAUUUUAUUUUCCAAAUGGUUGCUACUAGGAUGUAGAAGUAUAAUUGAUUUUUGCAUAUUGACCUUAUACUUUAUUGCUUUGCUAAAUUUUUUAGGUAGAGUAUUCUAUAAAUCUCAAUCAGCUCAAGUUGGUCAAUAGCGUUAUUUAACCUUGGACUGACAGUUUUCUCCCUCUGUUUGAGUACUUUAAAAAGUACCAUUAUCUUCUGGCCUCUGUAGUCUGAUUAAAAAGUCAGUUAUUUAUACUAUUUUUCCCCUCUGGCUGCCUUUAGGAUUUUUCUCCUUGUCUUUGUUUUCCAGCAGUUUGACUAUGAUAUGCCUUGUUGCAGUUUUAUUGUUUUUGUUGUUGUUUGUUUUUUUUUGUCUUUAUCUUGCUUAGGAUUUGCUGAUAUUCUUGGAGCUCUAGGUUAUUUUUAUCAGUUUUAAAGAGAUUUGCUAUUAUAUCUUCAGAUAUAUUUUCUGCCCCAUUUCUUUCCCUCCCUUCUCCCUCUAGUACUCUAAUUAUAUGUAUAUUAUAUCAUUUGAUACUCUUGUUUUUCAGCAAUUUAUCCUCUAUGUUCUUCAGACUGAAUAAUUUCUGUUAUUCUGUCUUCAGAUUCAUUAACUCUUUUCUGUAGCAACUAAUCUGCUCUUAAUCUCAUCUAGUAAAAUUUCACUUCAGAUAUUAUAUAUUUUACUUCUUAAAUUUCCAUUUGGUUCUCUUCACGUAUAAUACUUCCAUUUUUAUGCUGAGAAGCCCUGUCUGUUUACUGUUUAUGACCAGCUUCUUUCAGUCAUUGGGCAAUUUAUAAUUAUUGUUUAAAAGUCCUUGCUUAGAAUUCUAGUUUCUGAGCCAGCAUGGAAGAGCUUUGGAAGUUGUUACUCCCAUCCUAACCAGAAAAAAUCUGAACGAACUGAAAAAUCAACAACUCUUCUUAGAUUUAUCGGAGAAUUAAGGUCACAGGCAAACUCCUGUCCCCAAAAUUGGUGAGUCAGAUAGCCAGUUACAGAGAAUCCCAUCUUAAUGGAACAAAAACCCAUGAACAGAAAUCACCACUGUAGCCAGUCCUGCAAUAGGAAAACUUCUAAUUGAUGAUUCCUGGAGACUCAGUAUGGACAGAUGAGUUAAAAACUCCUGGCAGGGGUGAGGGAGGUCUUAGGGGAUCCCAUACUUUUCAUGACUUUCACUUCCAAGAGCCCUCCCAGUUUCUUUCAGUGAAAAUUGCAGAAAAGCCCUCAUACUUCCAGAUGGUGGGGAGGGAAUGUAGCCAUUUUGAAAUACAUCCAGAACAUUCUGUCCUUAACAAAAUGUGCCUCAGUAGAAACUAUCUUAUCAGAGCUUCACUGACCUGGGAGGAAGAGAAAUAUCCAACUCUAGCCUUCUGUAUGGGGGAAAUAAAAUAUCCGUUAUCAUAUGUUAUUAGAGAAUUACAAAUCAAAACAAGAUAACCACCGUAUACCUAUAAGAAUGGCUAUAAUCCAAAACACUGACAACAGCAAAUGUUGGUGAGAUGUGGAGCAACAGGAAUUCCCAUUCAUUCCUGGUAGGAACACAAAAUAGGAUGGCCACUUUGGAAGACACUUUGGUAGUUUCUUACAAAACUGAACAUACUCUCAUCAUAUAAUCCAGCUAUCACACCGCUUGGUGUUUACCCAAAUGAAUUGAAAAUUUAUGUCCACACAAAAACCUCCACAUAUAGCAGCUUUAUUCAUAAUCAUCAAAUUUGGAAGCAACCAAGAUGUCCUUCAGUAGGUAACUGGAUAAACAAACUGUUGUCCAUUCAUACAGUGGAAUGUUAUUUAGCAAUAAAAAGAAAUGAUCAGUGAAGCCAUGAAAAGACAUAGAGGAAACUUGAAAGCAUAUUGCAGGCUGAAAGAAGCCAACCUGAAAAAUCUACAUAUAUGUAUGAUUUCAACUAUACGACAUUCUGGAAAAAGAAAAACUAUGGUGACAGUAAAAAGAUCCGGGUUGUCAGGGGCUCUGGGGGACAGAGGGAGGGACAGGUAGGUAGAGCACAGGGGAUUUGGGGGGCAGUAGAAGUAUUCUGUAUGAUACUGUAAUGGUAUAUAUAUGUCAUUAUAUAUUUUUCAAGCCCCAUGUACCACACCAAGAGUGAACCUUAAUGUAAAUAAUGGACUUUAAUAUUGAUAUAUUAAUAUUGGUUCAUCAGUUGAAACAAAUGUACCACAGUAACACAAGAUGUAAAUAAGAGGGGAAGCUGGAUGUGUAGGGGUGGGGAAGAGGGCAAUAUGGAAACUCUUCGUACUUUCUGAUCAGUUUUUCUGUAAACCUAAAACUGCUGUAAAAAAAAAAUAAAGUAACUUUUUAAAAAAUUG
rnacentral:lncRNA from 1 species